UACAGAGGGUGCGAGCGUUAAUCGGAAUUACUGGGCGUAAAGCGCACGUAGGUGGCGACGUAAGUCGGGUGUGAAAGCCCCGGGCUCAACCUGGGAAUUGCAUUCGAGACUGCAUUGCUGGAGUACGGAAGAGGAAGGCGGAAUUCCCGGUGUAGCGGUGAAAUGCGUAGAUAUCGGGAGGAACAUCAGUGGCGAAGGCGGCCUUGUGGUCCAGUACUGACACUCAAGUGCGAAAGCGUGGGGAGCAAACAGG
rnacentral:rRNA from 1 species